ACACCCCUACGGGGCGCAGCAGUAGGGAAUCUUCCACAAUGGACGAAAGUCUGAUGGAGCAACGCCGCGUGAGUGAAGAAGGGUUUCGGCUCGUAAAGCUCUGUUGGUAGUGAAGAAAGAUAGAGGUAGUAAAUGGCCUUUAUUUGACGGUAAUUACUUAGAAAGUCACGGCUAACUACGUGCCAGCAGCCGCGGUAAUACGUAGGUGGCAAGCGUUGUCCGGAUUUAUUGGGCGUGAAGCGAGUGCAGGCGGUUUAAUAAAUC
rnacentral:rRNA from 1 species